rnacentral:rRNA from 1 species
GAUGAACGCUGGCGGCGUGCCUAAUACAUGCAAGUCGAGCGCACGGACGAGAAGCUUGCUUCUCUGAUGUUAGCGGCGGACGGGUGAGUAACACGUGGAUAACCUACCUAUAAGACUGGGAUAACAUCGGGAAACCGGAGCUAAUACCGGAUAAUAUUUUGAACCGCAUGGUUCAACAGUGAAAGACGGCCUUGCUGCCACUUAUAGAUGGCACCGCGCUGCAUUGUCAAGUUGGUAAGGUAAAGGCAUACCAAGGCCACGGUGCAUAGCCGACCUGGGAGGCUGGUCGGCCACACUGGAACUGAGACACGGUCCAGAGUCCUACGGGAGGCAGCAGUAGGGAAUCUUCCGCAAUGAGCGAAAGCCUGACGGAGGAACGCCGCGUGGGGGAUAGAGGUCUUCGGAUCGUAAAACUCUGUUAUUGGGGAAGAACAUAUGUGUAAGUAACUGUGCACACCGUGACGGUACCUAAGCAGAAAGCCACGGCUAACUACGUG